GAUGAACGCUGGCGGCGUGCCUAAUACAUGCAAGUCGAGCGAACGGACGAGAAGCUUGCUUCUCUGAUGUUAGCGGCGGACGGGUGAGUAACACGUGGAUAACCUACCUAUAAGACUGGGAUAACUUCGGGAAACCGGAGCUAAUACCGGAUAAUAUUUUGAACCGCAUGGUUCAAAAGUGAAAGACGGUCUUGCUGUCACUUAUAGAUGGAUCCGCGCUGCAUUAGCUAGUUGGUAAGGUAACGGCUUACCAAGGCAACGAUGCAUAGCCGACCUGAGAGGGUGGUCGGCCACACUGGAACUGAGACACGGUCCAGACUCCUACGGGAGGCAGCAGUAGGGAAUCUUCCGCAAUGGACGAAAGCCUGACGGAGCAACGCCGCGUGAGUGAUGAAGGUCUUCGGAUCGUAAAACUCUGUUAUUAGGGAAGAACAUAUGUGUAAGUAACUGUGCACAUCUUGACGGUACCUAAUCAGAAAGCCACGGCUAACUACGUG
rnacentral:rRNA from 1 species